rnacentral:tRNA from 1 species
GGAGAAACUGUGACUCAGUGGUAGAGUAUCUGCUUUGCAUAAGGAAGGUCCCAGGUUCAAUCUGUGGCAUCUCCC